rnacentral:rRNA from 1 species
GAUAUUGCCGACGGCCUGCGGCGGCCGGGUGGCGGCGGCGGGAAUCCAUUCCUACGGGAGGCAGGUUAGGGAAUUUUCCACAAUGGACCAAAGUCUGAUGGAACAUCGCCGCGUGAACGAUGAAGGUCUUCGGAUUGUAAAGUUCUGUUGUCAGGGACGAACAAGUACCGUUCGAACAGGGCGGUACCUUGACGGUACCUGACGAGAAAGCCACGGCUAACUACGUGCCAGCAGCCGCGGUAAUACGUAGGUGGCAAGCGUUGUCCGGAUUUAUUGGGCGUAAAGCGCGCGCAGGCGGCUAUGUAAGUCUGGUGUUAAAGCCCGGGGCUCAUCCCCGGUUCGCAUCGGAAACUGUGUAGCUUGAGUGCAGAAGAGGAAAGCGGUAUUCCACGUGUAGCGGUGAAAUGCGUAUAGAUAUGGACGAACACCAGUGGCGAAGGCGGCUUUCUGGUCUGUAACUGACGCUGAGGCUCGAAAGCGUGGGGAGCAAACAAGAUUAGAUACCCUGGUAGUCCACUCCCUACACGAUGAGUGCUAGGUGUUGGGGGGUUUCUAUACCCUCAGUGCCGCAGCUAACGCAGAUAAAGACUCCCGCCGGGGGGACUACGCUCGCAAGAGUGGAAACUCCAGGGAAUUGAACGGAGUAAUCACUCGUGCAUUCCGCGCCCCCCCUGGCAAGUCGACAAAAUGGGGAGAACUC